CCCUUAGAUGUUCUGGGCGGCCCGCGCACUACAAUGGCGUGUGCAGCGAGUGCCGAAGUAGAGUUUUCCGAGGUAUUCUUGCAAUGCUCGUUUUGAUGGGGAUAGACCCUUGCAACUGUUGGUUUUGAACGAGGAAUUCCUUGUAAGCAUGGUUUAUCGUCCGACGCUGAAUGCGUCCCUGCCCUUUGUACACACCGCCCGUCGCUCCUACCGAUGAGUCGUCCGGUGAAGUUCGUAGACCUCGUGAUCGCGGAUCACUGGGGGAAGCAAAAUGAACCUCGCGGUUUAGAGGAAGGAGAAGUCGUAACA
rnacentral:rRNA from 1 species